UAGAUCGACGUCGACCGGUUAUGACGUCAUUUCCGAGUGAAGUCAAGUGGUUAUGAUGGACCUGUAAUGGAAACAAUAGUGUGUAAAACUGUAAAGUUUAAAAAAGGUGGAAAGGUUGCGAACCAAUUUGUGCAGUUUCAGCAUCAGUUAAAUACGCAUAAUACGUGAGAAAACGUCGUGGAAGAAGCUACGUAGCUACAACUGAAAACUAUCCCCUUUUCGAACUCUGAGAUCACAGACCUAGUGAAGGGGUCAUCGUUUCUGGAUCAACAGCGCUGUGGGCUGACCCGUCAAGCAAUGGCAAACCUUCGUCGACCAUUGGCGCGCAAAAUCGAAGCUAGCUCUACCUUGACGACUUUGGCAAUCAUGUUGAUGAUCUUAAAAGCUUUGCAAGUUAAUGGCCUCAAGUGUGGAACUGUAUUAGAACCUUGUGUAAGCUUCUUGGUAGAAAAUAGUCCGCCCCCGAGGCCCGGUGAUGGAUGCUGCUUAAGCUUAGUUAAGACCCGAGCUGAUGCCUGCAACUGCAUCAAGAAUUUUUCUGUGUUUCACAAUUUUAACCUCGCGAAAGCCAACCAACUCCCCUCUCGCUGCAACUUCAAGUGCAUAUAAGUACUCACAAGCUCCAUUAUCUUAUUCUGUAACUUAUUCUGUGAGUUACAGUAUGUGUUGUAAUAUGGGUAAUAAUAAUAUUUAUGUAACAACUGCCUAGCGCUGAGCUGUGGUGUGCAAAAUCUCAUGCUCACGAAGAGGUGCAACUUCAAGUGCAUAUAAGUACUCACAAGCUCCAUUAUCUUAUUCUGUGAGUUACAGUAUGUGUUGUAAUAUGGGUAAUACUAAUAUUUCUGUAACAACUGCCUAGCGCUGAGCUGUGGUGUGCAAAAUCUCAUGCUCACGAAGAGGUGCAACUUCAAGUGCAUAUAAGUACUCACAAGCUCCAUUAUCUUAUUCUGUGAGUUACAGUAUGUGUUGUAAUAUGGGUAAUACUAAUAUUUCUGUAACAACUGCCUAGCGCUGAGCUGUGGUGUGCAAAAUCUCAUGCUCACGAAGAGGUGCAACUUCAAGUGCAUAUAAGUACUCACAAGCUCCAUUAUCUUAUUCUGUGAGUUACAGUAUGUGUUGUAAUAUGGGUAAUACUAAUAUUUCUGUAACAA